rnacentral:rRNA from 1 species
AGCAGUAGCCACGGGAAUACGAAGGGGGCUAGCGUUGCUCGGAAUGACUGGGCGUAAAGGGCGCGUAGGCGGCGGCCAAAGUCAGGCGUGAAAUUCCCGGGCCCAACCUGGGGGCUGCGUUUGAUACUUGGUUGCUAGAGUGAGGAAGAGGGUCGUGGAAUUCCCAGUGUAGAGGUGAAAUUCGUAGAUAUUGGGAAGAACACCGGUGGCGAAGGCGGCGACCUGGUCCUUGACUGACGCUGAGGCGCGAAAGCGUGGGGAGCAAACAGGAUUAGAGACCCCGGUAGUCCCUGUCUCUUAUAC